GAUGAAGAACGUAGCGAAAUGCGAUACUUGGUGUGAAUUGCAGAAUCCCGUGAACCAUCGAGUCUUUGAACGCAAGUUGCGCCCGAAGCCAUUAGGCCGAGGGCACGCCUGCCUGGGCGUCACACGUCGUUGCCCCCCCAUCUACUCCUUCGGGAUUGCGGGGGGCGGAUGAUGGCCUCCCGUGCGCCUCGUCGCGCGGUUGGCAUAAAUGCCAAGUCCUCGGCGACACACGCCACGACAAUCGGUGGUUGCGAAACCUCGGUUGCCCGUCGUGUGCGGUCGUUGCGCAUCGAGGGCUCGAAAAAAUUGCCGGGCUCCGGCUCGGCUUUCAACGCGACCCCAGGUCAGGCGGGGUUACCCGCUGAAUUUAAGCAUAUCAAUAAGCGGAGGA
rnacentral:misc_RNA from 1 species